UUGAUCUGAUGGCAGCUGAAAGGGCAAAUGAGAAAGACUGUAAAUCAAGGAUAUGACAAAUGGGUGCUGCAUGGCAUCUGGGCAACUGUUCUAUCCUCAAUCAAGUGUCCAGUGCUCAAGAGUUGCCCAAAUACUGGCAAGAAGGUGGCAAGUCGAAGUUUUUUUCCCCCAUGAAUAUUUAUGUCGAUGCCUCAUUUGCUGACUGAAUUUCCACUCUGCUGGAAUUAUGCUUCCCCAUAGUGCACCC